AUUUCCUUGGUUUUUGGUAACUGGUCACCAACUUAAAUAAAAUGUAUUGAUAAUUCUCUCUUUUUUUUUUAAUGAGAAGAAACACUGAACUGAUGACAAAGUCAAAAAAAAUAAGAAUGGUAAAGUCAACCUUCUAAAACAACUAAUCAAAAUUAACUGCUAAUGUUUAAUAUAAUCAAAAGCCAUUAGAAAAAAAAAAUUGGUAAAGCAUGAACUGACACGUUGGGCGCCAAAUUUAUUGCACUGUUUCUCGCACAAUGCCUAAAUGUGGGUUCCAGGGUUAUGAUUAUUAGCCUUUAUUAGGGCACGCAAAGAAAACGCAGCUUUAUAUCGUUAAACCCAGCUUUAGUAUUGAAAGAUAAAUCAAUGUCAUAAUUGACAACUAAUUUAAUCUAUAACCUCAAUUCAAAAAAAAUAAAUACAAAGACAGUAAUGCUCUAAUACUUAAGUUAUAAUUAUGAAAUUUAAAAUUAUGAGAAAGAAAAUAAAGUAAAAUUUAGCACUUAAUACUUAUUCAAUUGUACAUCUGAUAAUACCUCGCAUAUACGUAUAUACUCAGUUCCCAAUUUCAAAUCAAAUCAGUGAUGGUGGUUAUAUAAACAAUUUUGCUAAAUUGAAUUUAAAAUCUGUGAUCAUUUCUACAUAUUAAUUAAAAAAAAAAAUAAUCUAUAAAUUGCGACGAACCAAUAAAUCAAUACCUGGAGAAACCAAGCCAAAAAGAAAAAGGGACUACCUGAAAUUCUGAGUAUCUCCGACUGGUAGCAGGGCCCACCUGAUCUGAAUGGGGCUCCUUUGUUGGAAGCUAUACGUUUGGGUCAAAAGAGGCAGCAGCAGAUCGACCAGUUAGGAUGCUUCCAGAAUGUCUAGCAGGUAGUGGAGGGCAAUCGGUAUUAGGUGUAGCCGAUUGGAAGGAAUGCAGGUUCCGGAGGUGAUGAUCCAAGCGACUUGAUGUGGUAACACGUGGAGUAGCAAGUGAGGUGGAAGCAGUAACAAUAAAAAUGCAGCAAAAGCAGAAGCAGAGGAUAAGCAGAAGGUACAGGAAGGCCUAAAAAUGGGGACCACACAUGAGGUUCGACAUGGCUGUCAAUUUUAUGGCAUUUUUGUGUGGAUCGGGUAUGUUAGGAGGGACCAUCUUAACGGUAUAUCAUAUCUGUGUAGUAUGUAUAUUUAUGUAUGAUUUUUAAAUAAAUUAUUUUAUGAAACUA
rnacentral:lncRNA from 1 species